CUAACACAUGCAAGUCGAACGACACAGUGGCAGACGGGUGAGUAACGCGUGGGAACGUGCCCUUCAGUACGGAAUAGCUUCUGGAAACGGAAGGUAAUACCGUAUACGCCCUCCGGGGGAAAGAUUAUCGCUGAAGGAUCGGCCCGCGUUAGAUUAGCUUGUUGGUGAGGUAAUGGCUCACCAAGGCGACGAUCUAUAGCUGGUCUGAGAGGAUGAUCAGCCACACUGGGACUGAGACACGGCCCAGACUCCUACGGGAGGCAGCAGUGGGGAAUCUUGCACAAUGGGCGAAAGCCUGAUGCAGCCAUGCCGCGUGAAUGAUGAAGGCCCUAGGGUUGUAAAAUUCUUUCAUCAGGGACGAUAAUGACGGUACCUGAAGAAGAAGCCCCGGCUAACUUCGUGCCAGCAGCCGCGGUAAUACGAAGGGGGCUAGCGUUGUUCGGAAUUACUGGGCGUAAAGCGCGCGUAGGCGGACUAUUAAGCCAGAUGUGAAAUCCCGGGGCUCGACCUCGGAACUGCAUUUGGAACUGGUAGUCUAGAGGCCAGGAGAGGUUAGUGGAAUGCCGAGUGUAGAGGUGAAAUUCGUAGAUAUUCGGUGGAACACCAGUGGCGAAGGCGACUGACUGGACUGGUACUGACGCUGAGGUGCGAAAGUGUGGGGAGCAAACAGGAUUAGAUACCCUGGUAGUCCACACCGUAAACGAUGAGUGCUAGUUGUCGGCAGGCAUGCCUGUCGGUGACGCACCUAACGCAUUAAGCACUCCGCCUGGGGAGUACGG
rnacentral:rRNA from 1 species